rnacentral:rRNA from 1 species
GAUGAACGCUAGCGGCAGGCUUAAUACAUGCAAGUUGAGGGGCAGCAUGAUAUACGCGAGUAUAUUGAUGGCGACCGGCGGACGGGUGAGUAAUAGGUAGGAGACCUACCUCAUACAGGGGGAUAGCAUAGAGAAAUCUGUGGUAAUACCCCAUGAGGUUAUAUGAAUAGAGGCAUAUAAUCAAAGCAUAAGUGAUUAUGCGGUAUGAGAGGGGCCUACUGACCAUUAGCUAGUUGGUGAGGUAAGGGCUCACCAAGGCGAAGAUGGUUAGGGGUUUUGAGAGAGAGACCCCCCACAUUGGAACUGAGAGACGGUCCAGACUCCUACGGGAGGCAGCAGUAGGGAAUAUUGGGCAAUGGGCGAAAGCCUGACCCAGCCACGCCGCGUGAAGGAAGACGGCCUUAUGGGUUGUAAACUUCUUUACUACGCGAAUAGAGGUUAGUACGAGAUACUAAUAGGAAGGUAGUGUAGUAAAAAAGCACCGGCUAACUCCGUG